CUGAUUAUUUUUUUAAUAAUGUUGGCUCCUCUUGCCUUUCUGUUUGCCUGGGAAGCACCAAUCCAAUGCAUUGCCCCCUUUCUGCAGCUUUAUACCGAGGGAGCGGUGGAAAAUCUGGGGUGAUGAAUCAGUGAUGCAAAGCGAAGCCGUGACCUGCCAGCAUCGCUAGUGCUCCGCAUAGCCUGAAGGUUUCGAAUGGCAUGUAAAUGGAUAUUGCCCUGCGAGCUGCAUUCUGCCGUACAAUCGCCACCGUCUCUUAAGUCUUAAAAGCCAGAGCAUGAUGUGAAUUAUAGGCUUUUCUUCUCCACGUGGGGCUCACAGCUUAUAGUCCUAAAUUACAUUUUGUCAGCCUGUUAACAAAGCAAGAUAGAAGAUCAUUAAAAAUAAGCUGCAGUUA